GUAGUUAGAGCCCGUUAAUGGGUGAUAGCGUGCCUUUUGUAGAAUGAACCGGCGAGUUACGAUUUGUUGCAAGGUUAAGCGGAAAAAGCGGAGCCGUAGCGAAAGCGAGUCUGAAUAGGGCGCAUAAGUAACAGGUCGUAGACCCGAAACCAGGUGAUCUACCCAUGUCCAGGAUGAAGGUAAGGUAAUACUUACUGGAGGUCCGAACCCACGCACGUUGAAAAGUGCGGGGAUGAGGUGUGGGUAGCGGAGAAAUUCCAAUCGAACUUGGAGAUAGCUGGUUCUCUCCGAAAUAGCUUUAGGGCUAGCCUCGAGGUAAAGAGUCAUGGAGGUAGAGCACUGUUUGGACUAGGGGCCCUUCUCGGGUUACCGAAUUCAGAUAAACUCCGAAUGCCAUGUACUUAUACUCGGGAGUCAGACUGCGAGUGAUAAGAUCCGUAGUCGAAAGGGAAACAGCCCAGACCACCAGUUAAGGUCCCCAAAUAUAUGUUAAGUGGAAAAGGAUGUGGGGUUGCUUAGACAACCAGGAUGUUGGCUUAGAAGCAGCCACCAUUGAAAGAGUGCGUAAUAGCUCACUGGUCGAGUGACCCCGCGCCGAAAAUGUACCGGGGCUAAACAUAUUACCGAAACUGUGGAUGAACCUCUUUAGAGGUUCGUGGUAGGAGAGCGUUCUAAGGGCGGUGAAGUCAGACCGGAAGGACUGGUGGAGCGCUUAGAAGUGAGAAUGCCGGUAUGAGUAGCGAAAGAAGGGUGAGAAUCCCUUCCACCGAAUAUCUAAGGUUUCCUGAGGAAGGCUCGUCCGCUCAGGGUUAGUCGGGACCUAAGCCGAGGCCGAUAGGCGUAGGCGAUGGACAACAGGUAGAGAUUCCUGUACCAGUGCUAAUUGUUUAACCGAUGGGGUGACACAGAAGGAUAGGGAAUCGCACGAAUGGAAAUGUGCGUCCAAGCAGUGAGUGUGAGAAGUAGGCAAAUCCGCUUCUCGCGAAGCAUGAGCUGUGAUGGGGAAGGAAAUUAAGUACGGAAGUUCCUGAUUUCACGCUGUCAAGAAAAGCCUCUAGGAAGAGUAGUACUGCCCGUACCGCAAACCGACACAGGUAGAUGAGGAGAGAAUCCUAAGGUGAGCGAGAGAACUCUCGUUAAGGAACUCGGCAAAAUGACCCCGUAACUUCGGGAGAAGGGGUGCUCUAUUAGGGUGCAAGCCCGAGAGAGCCGCAGUGAAUAGGCCCAGGCGACUGUUUAGCAAAAACACAGGUCUCUGCAAAACCGUAAGGUGACGUAUAGGGGCUGACGCCUGCCCGGUGCUGGAAGGUUAAGAGGAGUGCUUAGCUUCGGCGAAGGUACGAAUUGAAGCCCCAGUAAACGGCGGCCGUAACUAUAACGGUCCUAAGGUAGCGAAAUUCCUUGUCGGGUAAGUUCCGACCCGCACGAAAGGCGCAACGAUCUGGGCACUGUCUCAACGAGAGACUCGGUGAAAUUAUAGUACCUGUGAAGAUGCAGGUUACCCGCGACAGGACGGAAAGACCCCGUGGAGCUUUACUGCAACCUGAUAUGGAAUGUUUGUACCGCUUGUACAGGAUAGGUAGGAGCCGAAGAGACGUGUGCGCUAGCAUACGAGGAGGCAAUGGUGGGAUACUACCCUGGCUGUAUGACCAUUCUAACCCGCCACGCUUAGCGCGUGGGGAGACAGUGUCAGGUGGGCAGUUUGACUGGGGCGGUCGCCUCCUAAAGAGUAACGGAGGCGCCCAAAGGUUCCCUCAGAAUGGAUGGAAAUCAUUCGCAGAGUGUAAAGGCACAAGGGAGCUUGACUGCGAGACUGACAAGUCGAGCAGGGACGAAAGUCGGGCUUAGUGAUCCGGUGGUUCCGCAUGGAAGGGCCAUCGCUCAACGGAUAAAAGCUACCCCGGGGAUAACAGGCUUAUCUCCCCCAAGAGUCCACAUCGACGGGGAGGUUUGGCACCUCGAUGUCGGCUCGUCGCAUCCUGGGGCUGUAGUCGGUCCCAAGGGUUGGGCUGUUCGCCCAUUAAAGCGGCACGCGAGCUGGGUUCAGAACGUCGUGAGACAGUUCGGUCCCUAUCCGUCGCGGGCGCAGGAAAUUUGAGAGGAGCUGUCCUUAGUACGAGAGGACCGGGAUGGACACACCGCUGGUGUACCAGUUGUUCCGCCAGGAGCAUCGCUGGGUAGCUAUGUGUGGCAGGGAUAAACGCUGAAAGCAUCUAAGCGUGAAGCCCCCCUCAAGAUGAGAUUUCCCAUUUCUUCGGAAAGUAAGAUCCCUGAAAGAUGAUCAGGUAGAUAGGUUUGGAGUGGAAGUGUAGCGAUACAUGGAGCGGACAAAUACUAAUCGAUCGAGGACUUAACCAAAA
rnacentral:rRNA from 1 species